rnacentral:rRNA from 1 species
GGCAACGGCCAUAUCACGUUGAAAAUACCGGUUCUCGUCCGAUCACCGAAGUCAAGCAACGUUGAGCCCGGUUAGUACUUGGAUGGGUGACCGCCUGGGAACACCGGGUGCUGUUGGCA